UACGUAGGGCGCGAGCGUUAUCCGGAAUUAUUGGGCGUAAAGCGCGCGUAGGCGGUCUGUUAAGUCUGAUGUGAAAGCCCCCGGCUCAACCGGGGAGGGUCAUUGGAAACUGGGGGACUUGAGUGCAGAAGAGGAGAGUGGAAUUCCACGUGUAGCGGUGAAAUGCGUAGAUAUGUGGAGGAACACCAGUGGCGAAGGCGACUCUCUGGUCUGCAACUGACGCUGAGGUGCGAAAGCGUGGGGAUCAAACAGG
rnacentral:misc_RNA from 1 species